AUGCAGUCCCAGUGCAGCCACCGUGCCUGGUGCCUGGUGCCCGGUGCCCGGUGCAGCACCAGUGCCAGAUGCCUGGUGCCCGGUGCAUCCCCGGUGCCGUGCCCGAUCCGCGGUCCCAACCCGCCGCCAGGGGGCGCCGCCACGCUCUUCCUCAGAGCCUCGCGGCGGUUGGCGCCGGCGACCCCUCGGCUCCUUCCGGAACGGCUCGGGCUCGGGGCGUGGUCCCGAUCGCGGCCGGCGAUCGGGGGAAGGGGCGGGGCCGCCGAGGCUUCGGGCAGGUUCGUCCCUCUCUGGCCUCUGUCGGGUCUUUCCGGGGCGGGUUCGGGCCGUUCCGGCGGGGUUCGGGCUCUUUCCCAGGCUGCCGCCGGGCUGGGAGGCAGGAGCGGGCUGGAGCCGAGCGGCGGCGGAUGGGGACGGCGGAGAGGUGGGCCGGGGCCGGGGGAGAGCGGGGCCGGGGAAGAGCGGGGCCGGGAUCGGAACCAGAGCCGGGGCCUGGCGGGCGGGCCGGCGCCGGCACCCGCGGUGAGCGCGGCCUCUCAGCGUGAGGCGCCGCGGGGCAGCGCCCCGCCGUGUCCCCCGGGCUGGGCCUCUGCCUGCUCCCCGGGGGCAGCACCGGGGCUGUCCCCGUCCCCUUCCCGGUGGUGCCAGCGCAGGGUGCCCCGCUGCCAGGGCCGUGCCGCCCGCCCCCCGCGCCGUGCCACCCCCGGGCUGGCCCAGUCCCCCCGCCCCGAGGGGCCAGGGCAUGUCCCCUGUGCCCGAGCUGCAUGCCCCACGCCGGGGUGCCAGGGCUGGGCUGUACGUUCCGUGUGCCGGGGCAGUGCCCCCCAGCAGUGCCAGCGCGGGGACCCCUGUGCCAUUCCCCCUGCAGCGGUACUGGUGCAGGGACCCCCACCUUGGCACGGUGCAGCCCCCGCCGCCGAGGAUCCAGACGCUCUGGGUGGCAGAGCUGGAGAAAAACGGCCCGUCAGGGCUGCACGGCUCCAGCCUGGGCUGGGGGCUUGGCCCCACCGCGGUUCUUCCCCAGCAACCCCCAGGCUGGGUCCGGACGGCCCAGGCAUGUGCCUGUCUGGCUGGGUGUGCUGGAGUCCAGCCUGGGGGUGGCUGUGGCUUUGCUGCCUCUGGACACGGUUGCCCUCAGACCCUGGCUCGGGGAUGGUGGCCAGCCCACCUCUUCCCAGUGAGGUUUGUGUGCUGUGUUUCUUUCAAUCCUGCGGGUGA
rnacentral:lncRNA from 1 species